GUUGAACGCUGGCGGCAGGCCUAACACAUGCAAGUCGAACGAGGGGCGGACGGGUGAGUAAUGUCUGGGAAACUGCCUGAUGGAGGGGGAUAACUACUGGAAACGGUAGCUAAUACCGCAUACCAUCAGAUGUGCCCAUAUGGGAUUAGCUAGUUGGUGGGGUAACGGCUCACCAAGGCGACGAUCCCUAGCUGGUCUGGGAGGCUGACAAGCCACCCGGGAACGCGGCCACGGUCCAGACGCCGACGGGAGGCAGCAGUGGGGAAUAUUGGACAGCGGGCGCAAGCCUGAUACAGCCAUGCCGCGCGUAUGAAGAAGGCCUUCGGGUUGUAAAGUACUUUCAGCGGGGAGGCGUUACUCGCAGAAGAAGCACCGGCUAACUACGUGCCAGCAGCCGCGGUAAUUC
rnacentral:rRNA from 1 species